rnacentral:rRNA from 1 species
AAUGGAGAGUUUGAUCCUGGCUCAGGACGAACGCUGGCGGCGUGCCUAAUACAUGCAAGUCGAGCGGAGUUUUAAUUGGUGCUUGCACCGAUUAAAACUUAGUGGCGGACGGGUGAGUAACACGUGGGUAACCUACCCUAUAGACUGGGAUAACUUCGGGAAACCGAGGCUAAUACCGGA